rnacentral:rRNA from 1 species
UACGAAGGUGCAAGCGUUACUCGGAAUUACUGGGCGUAAAGCGUGCGUUAGGUGGUUCGUUAAGUCGGUUGUGAAAUCCCCGGGCUCAACCUGGGAAUUGCAUUUGAGACUGCGUAGCUAGGGUGCGGAAGAGGGAAGCGGAAUUUCCGGUGUAGCGGUGAAAUGCGUAGAUAUCAGGAGGAACACCGGUGGUGUAGACGGCUUUCUGGACCGUAACUGACGCUGAGACACGAAAGCGUGGGUAGCAAACAGG